rnacentral:snRNA from 1 species
GUACUCACUUUGACAGCACAUAUACUAAAAUUGGAAUGAUACAAAGAAGUUUAGCAUUGCCCCUGCACAAGGAUGAGACAAAUUUGUGAAGUGUUCCAUAUUUUC